GGCAGGAGGGAAGGAGCUCAUCCCCUGGGCUCUGGAUCUGCGCAAAAAUAGGGGCUCCAGCCAGACCCCAUGCCAAGAGCUCACAUGUAAUGCAGUCAAAGGUAAGUGUGAACAGGCCCCCUGGAUCUACUCCUAGGUAUAGUAUGAUCAAACAGGAAGUUCUGGCCAGUCAGUGUGUGUUAUAUCUAGUUAUGUAUUUGGAAUUACCAGGCUAAUUUAUAAAGAUAGCUCUCUAGUGUGGAAGACAUCUGGUAAUUCUAUGUCUCAAGGCUUUGCUGCCCAUUAUUUGGCACGAGGAAAGAUUUUUUUUCUUUUGCUGAAUGCUACUGGCUCUGGUAGGGGGGAAGAGGUCACGUUCUUCUGAGGCCUGGGGAAGUUGGCCACAACUACAGCUGGAGGGUUUUGACUGAGGUAUGCCAACUGGCUACAGGCUUAAGUUAUUCUGUUUUCUGAAAGGCUUAGACUAUCUUGAAUUUCCUAGAGUAGUCUAUCGCUUUCUGUGCAUGUGUGCAUCUUAAAGGGCUCUUUUUUUUACCAGAAAUUUCAGACUAUCUGUAAUUUCAUAUUCAUUUUCAAUGUGUGUGUUUCUCUCUGUACACAGCCUCAGAGAAAUGUUGCUGAUAUCAGAAUCAUUAGUGCUAAAAAAACUGAUCAACCUACCCCCUGACGUGCUAUUUAUCCAAUUUUGCUUUUAAGCAUUCAAAGAGAUUAAGUCAAUUAUCUCUUUAAAAUUAAUUUUGUAUUUAAAGGGUUCAAGUGCAUUGGCCAAGAACAAUGGAGCCGUGAGGGAGAGUUUAAAGAAGUAAUUAGGCAGAAAGGGACUGAGAAUGUGCCUCCAUGUACAGAAUACUUUCUACAAGGAACCCAUGAGAGGGUAAGAAGAAUCAUCUCAAGCAGACAAGAUUUUGCUAUUAGUAUUGUGUAACACUGAAAAGGAAAGGAUGUUUCAGGGAAGAACUUCAAGGAGAGUUGGUUCAGACUCAGAUCAAUGUCCACAGUGGUUGCACAUUUGGAAUACAGGCGGACUGCAGCUCAAGUCUCGGCCACAAGGAUUUGCUUGGAGACCCCACUUCUCUGCUGAUUUCCCUCUCCUGCAACCUACAGCAGCUGUGAUCACCACCCUUAUGGAGGUGCCACUUCAAAGUUCCCAGAUGUCUGAAGCAGCACAGCAAUGGUGUUUGGGGUAGCAGGAGUAGUGAGGCCUUCUCGUUUCCUCUCUUGCCUCACAGCCAAGGUGAGGGGACUUGGUCGAGAAUAAUACACCCCUAGCUGGUUUCUGUUGUAUCACUGUGAUGCAACUCCUAUCAGCACUAGCCAUCACACGUUAGGGUUUUAAGGCCUCAGCUUUCCCUGAAGCAAUCUCAUCAUCCAGAACCUUGAGAUUUUCUGUCUCUUGUAUGACAUCCCCUAAUUCCAUACCAGACUCACCCAGAAGACUGAGCAUUUUUGACAGACUCCAUUGCCCGCAGUCUAUAAUUAGUUUUGCUGACAUGAGUUCCCUCUCCUUACCUUGUUAUGCCCACAUUACCACCCCUCUGAUCUUCAUCAGGGACCUUCUCACUCUUGUUUCCACUGGACUCAACUAACAUACUUAUAUAUAUGCAUACAUCAUUGCAUUAGUACAACCUUAUCUUUGUUUGCAUCAUUUUUUAUUGGGGUUAUAGUGUAAGACAUGAAUUAAAACUGAUAUUAUAAACUCACACGUUUUUAUUAUGGUCUAAGGGUGUCCUUUCAUACUUUAGCUUAUUUUGCUUGAGAAUGGUCAUAGAUAAACACCAAAACAGCACUUGGAGCAUACUGUAUGGACAAGCAAACAAUUUGAUGUGGGAUAUGCAUAACUGCCAGUGUGCAUACUGUAUCAGAACUCCUGGCAGAGGUGAUAUCUUUUAUU